rnacentral:lncRNA from 1 species
GUCAUUGUGCUCUAGCGAUGGCACCGCCAUCCGCGACGGUGGUUUACCUCGGCCUGAUCGUUUUCGACAAGUUUAGACCAUUUUAGCUAAAUUUACACAUAUCCCUGCGAAAAAAUACAUUAGGGAGACUUAGUUGGCCAAAAAAAUUAGAAAACUGAAACCUACCAGUUGUGGGAUUUUUAGGUGCAGUGGCUCCACUAGCUUUCCUUUGCGACUGGGAUUCCUCUUUCAGUCAACCUGUAGAAAAUAGAACGAUGAACACAAUGGUAGAAAAAUUGCACAAAAUGGGAACCGGAAAGGGGCUCAUCGGAGGAUGUUGCGAGUUUUGGGCCGCGACGGCCCUGCUGGGCUUGCUUGCUGUUUUUGGCUCACCCGUCAUU